rnacentral:rRNA from 1 species
AGUGAACGCUGGCGGCAGGCCUAACACAUGCAAGUCGAGCGGCAGCGGGUUCCCGCGAGGGGAUGCCGGCGAGCGGCGGACGGGUGAGGAACACAUCGGAAUCUGCCUGGUUGUGGGGGAUAACGUAGGGAAACUUACGCUAAUACCGCAUGCGACCCUGAGUCGACGGACUGGGGGUGAAAGUGAGGGACCUUCGGGCCUCACGCGACCAGAUGAGCCGAUGUCGGAUUAGCUAGUUGGCGGGGUAACGGCCCGCCAAGGCGACGAUCCGUAGCUGGUCUGAGAGGAUGAUCAGCCACACUGGGACUGAGACACGGCCCAGACUCCUACGGGAGGCAGCAGUGGGGAAUCUUGGACAAUGGGCGCAAGCCUGAUCCAGCCAUGC